UACGUAGGGUGCUAGCGUUGUUCGGAAUCAUUGGGCGUAAAGCGCGUGUAGGCGGCUCGGUAAGUCUGCUCUGAAAGCCCGGGGCUCAACCCUGGGAGGCGGGUGGAUACUGCUGAGCUCGAGUCCGGAAGAGGCGAGUGGAAUUCCUGGUGUAGCGGUGAAAUGCGCAGAUAUCAGGAGGAACACCGGCGGUGUAGACGGCUCUCUGGACAGUAACUGACGCUGAGACACGAAAGCGUGGGGAGCAAACAGG
rnacentral:rRNA from 1 species